AAGUACUAUCCAUGCUCAGUGCUGCUUGACUUCCGUAAAUGGACGAGAACGAGUGUUAUUUAUAUUUCUAUAUGUCGGAGAUGAAAGGACACCGGAACCUUCCCUUUCGAACUUUGGGAAAAUCCCUUAACACUGUAACCUAGAUUCUACCAUAGCCGUAAUUAAACAAUUGUCGUCAUUCAAUCCGAUUGUAUUUGCUCGAGAUUUGUAACAAUGAGCUUCGGCUCGAGGCGACAAUCAGUCGCCGAACGUAGCCGUGGUCAAGGGAUCAACGUUUUGUCUAACAAAGGUAUGGAGUAAUAGCGUAGCUCUCCUCAAAAAGUGUUGAAGUGGUCAUCACUUCUAAGAAAACUCUACAUCUGGUCUUUUUAGUUUUCUCAAGCACUGAAGCCAUCGAUAGCGUACAGACAAAAGACUGCGACGAAGGCAGACCAUAAACAGUAGACAGGCGACGUUGGCUUCGGGGUUUUCAGUUAUAGGGUAACACUGCUAGCGUGCGGAUUUGGAUCAGUUCAAAUUGUAUUCUUACUUAUAAUUUCACUUUUCUAUUAAAUUAAUUAUA